AUCUCAGCCACAGAUUUUCUGGUUGUAAUGGGCCAGUUUGAAACUCGGGGAACAUCUGUGACUUUCUUUCUUAACGCAGAGGAAGGUUAUGGCAAUAACAGGCCUGUGAUGCCCUUAGAUGUCCAGGGCUGCACACGUACUACAUUGAUCAACUCAGUAGGCCUCGUGUUUUCUCCAAUAACGUAUCUAGUGGACUUGGUGUCGGGUGCGUGGCCUCGGUCGUGUACUUUGAUUACUGUCACUUUAAACACUGGUCGUUAGACUCGUGCAAUCCAAUAGAAGAGGUGACUAAGUUUCCCAGUACCGUGUUCGCCUCCCGUGUCAGUAGGGCCCCUCGCAAUACCAGUCGAAGUGGGCCCUUUGUGCUUUUUUCAAAUCUUAGUGGGGACAGACAUCUGUUAACUUUUUGUCUCGGUCCCAACCAGGAAUGCCUCGUACAGGUUGGUUCACCAUACCACCUGGAAUUAGUCCCUGCCCUUUGUACACACCGCCCGUCGCUUUUACCAAUGAACUUCUUUGCGAGAGUGAGAGACUAAAAUAUCUGCGGAA
rnacentral:rRNA from 1 species